AAUUCGGAUUAUACAUUGAUCGGAGAAGAGGUUAAUCAGUAGCCCGAGUCAAAGAAGGAAACUGUUUAGAGCUCUGAUUCGCAAGCAUAUCUUUACAAUCAACUACACAACAGCAACGAGAACAGCAACAGACCUCUGUUUAUGAUUUUUGACAGCAAGUUUACUUGCAGACUUGUAGGCUUAAAGCAUUGCAGCAGUUGUGUGCAGGUGACUGUGUACACACACAGGUUCUGUGUGGUUGUUUUUCAAAUUUGAAGCAGUAGCAAGAAUGUAAAAACAGCAGCCCAGGUCUGACACAGCAGCUUACGAAUUUAUGUACAACAUGUUCUGAGUUUUGUAAAGCUAACAGAGUGCAGUUUUGAAGCUAUUGUUGUGUGAUUAUGAAGUUUUGGAUCACCUCGACAGUUUUUAUUUUUUUUUUAACAUUCUGUUUUGUUUUGUAAGUUGUUAGUGUGACUGUUUGAUGUUGUAUACAGGUUGUUGUUUGUUUAAGCAAAA